UACGUAGGUGGCAAGCGUUGUCCGGAAUUAUUGGGCGUAAAGCGCGCGCAGGUGGUUCUUUAAGUCUGAUGUGAAAGCCCACGGCUCAACCGUGGAGGGUCAUUGGAAACUGGGGAACUUGAGUGCAGAAGAGGAAAGUGGAAUUCCAAGUGUAGCGGUGAAAUGCGUAGAGAUUUGGAGGAACACCAGUGGCGAAGGCGACUUACUGGACACAUAUUGACGCUGAGGUGCGAAAGCGUGGGGAGCAACAGG
rnacentral:rRNA from 1 species